rnacentral:rRNA from 1 species
GAUGAACGCUGGCGGCGUGCCUAAUACAUGCAAGUCGAGCGAACGGACGAGAAGCUUGCUUCUCUGAUGUUAGCGGCGGACGGGUGAGUAACACGUGGAUAACCUACCUAUAAGACUGGGAUAACUUCGGGAAACCGGAGCUAAUACCGGAUAAUAUUUUGAACCGCAUGGUUCAAAAGUGAAAGACGGACUUGCCGUCACUUAUAGAUGGAUCCGCGCUGCAUUAGCUAGUUGGUAAGGUAACGGCUUACCAAGGCAACGAUGCAUAGCCGACCUGAGAGGGUGAUCGGCCACACUGGAACUGAGACACGGUCCAGACUCCUACGGGAGGCAGCAGUAGGGAAUCUUCCGCAAUGGGCGAAAGCCUGACGGAGCAACGCCGCGUGAGUGAUGAAGGUCUUCGGAUCGUAAAACUCUGUUAUUAGGGAAGAACAUAUGUGUAAGUAACUGUGCACAUCUUGACGGUACCUAAUCAGAAAGCCACGGCUAACUACGUG